CGGCGCAGUGGCAAAGCGUCUGCGGCAGCAACCAAGGGAGCGAAGGUUAUUUAUAUUCAUGUUGCAGCUCUGCCAGCCGUGACUCUGUUAUCUGCCAUGCAUGAAUAUUAUUUGAAUACAGAGUUUGUCGUGACUAUUCUUCCGCGUGAAACGAGGGAUUUGCUGUGGGAUGGGAGCCCUCCCUCCGGCUGUCAGUCAGGAGGGGUUUCCUUUUCCUGUCUCGUUGGAAGCUGCGUCCCCAGCAAGUGAGCUGGGGACUGGAGUGAGCCGUGGUGGGGAUGCUGGGGAGCACCCAGAAGCACGAUGAGAGUGAGCGAGCCAGGAGCUGGAGCCCACCAUUGCCUACCUUUCCUCCAUGCUGCUAUCAAUGGUUCCUCCAUCGCAUCCCAGCAAGGAAGGACCAUGAUGGAAAGUUGCAGCUCACACCAUCUCUUCCCUUGGUCGUGAGCGAGUGCCAGGGUUCCUGUUGUAGGGAUUGCACCAAGGUGACAAACUAGAGAGGUUUGAAAAAUGGAAACACAAUCCCCUGACUCCAGGAGCUCAGACUUAAAUAUCAACAAAUACCUCAGGAUGCACUCGUGAGUGCUGAUGGAGCAGCUGACUCGGUGAGCAUGGAGGUGAACAACUCCAGAGCCCCGCAGAGCCCCGCAGUCCUGAUUUGCUGAACCCAGCGGAAUAAAUUCCUGUGUAGGAUGAUCCAUGUGCAUGGGCCCCCGCACGAUCAGGGCCAAUGUUUGCGAAGUGCUGUGAGAUGCUUGGAUGAAAGGGACUACAGAAGCGCAAAGUAUUACUUUUUCAUGAUUACUGCAAUUGCUAUCCUUGGGGCUGUCCAAAUGUUGUUGUUCCAAGUGAAAAUAUAAAACCCUUUUGGCAUGUUUCUUUUUUGCGUUGUGAUAAAUAGAAAUGCAGGAGGAAAAAAAAAUCCCCUCCUAACAGUGAGAGAAG
rnacentral:lncRNA from 1 species